GUUUCAAUGGUGUUUCAGGUUUGGCCUGUGUUGACUGAUUUGAACAUUUUAAUACUGGUUUGACUAAAGUUCUUAAGCAAUUGAGGAAACUGAAAAGACAAACUGACUGGUCUGUUUAUGUGAUAGGUCUGUUAGUGUGGGCUGAAACAGGCUUUAAUUGACUCCUGUUAGUGCCUAUAAGACUGAUCUAGGGAUCUAAGCCAUGCAUACAUGCCUUUUUUUCUUUACCUACUCCUAAAAUAUUGUCAACAUCAGUCCAGUUCUCACCACAAUCAACAUAAUCUGACCUUGACUUUCCAAGGUGAUUGUUUCUGUGUGUGUGUUUGUGUAUGUGUGUGUUUGGGCUAGACGGUGUGCGUUUGUUUGUGUAGUUUCAGUGUCCGUGUGUGGUAUGUGUUAAUGCAUUCAAGUAAGUUGCAUGUACAUUAUUGUGCCGGAAUUGGUAUAAUCUUAUGAGGGGUGUAAAAGAAUUAGGUUGCCUGCAGCUACACAGUGUGUGCAUGAGAGAGGAAGAAAGAGGUAAAGAAAGAGGGAGGAUGACAGAGUAAGGAGAAAGGAAGAUAGGUGGAAGGAGGGGCUGUUGUGACUGUGUGAGUAUGACGCACACUGAUCUCUGCUGUGAUGUGACUGGCUGCCACGGCUGUCUGUGAGCGAGCUCAGCGGUUGGUGAUGCAGGGAGAGCAGAUUAUGAAGCGGAUCUCACCAGCGGCAGUCUACUCUCAUUGUCUCAAUGGCUGCGCACGCGUUCCUUCUGCUCUCUUCUGCCUUGCUGUCUGCCUUCAGCCAGCCCACCCUGUCCUUCGAUCAAGUGCCUACUCUCCUGGACAGAAGAUGCAAAUUCCUGGAGGUGUCAGUGCUUUCCGUCCAUGCAGUGAACUAAUGCACACCUGAAUGAGCACGGAUUUCUAGCGCAUUUACUUGAAGGUAAUAAAUAUGGUUUGACCAAUUUGAGAGGCAGCCAAAAUACAAUUUUAAAAUGGACUGAAUAAAGCUCUCUAUGAACUUGAUGUGCAAUGCCGCGCUGGCUGAUAUGUCAUGUUUGUGCAUGAAACACAAG
rnacentral:lncRNA from 1 species